rnacentral:lncRNA from 1 species
UUGUUUUUGUCUACUUCAUUUAGUUAUUAUUUCCACAUUAUUUUUAUGACUUUAUUAAUCUAGUGUUUGGAAUAUUAAUUUCCUUACAAAUUGCAUGUCCACUGAGAUUAACACUAGGAAUUUUGUUGCCUAUAUUCAUACACAAAAUGGUUUAGUGCAAUCCCUUGGAUCCUUAAUUAAUGACAACUUGGGAUUCAUUAAGUCUGAAUUUUCCAUCCUUUAUAAGAUAGCUUGAACCUAUGUUUGGUAAUGUUUGAUGAGACAGUUUUCUGUUGGAAAAUCAAAUUUGAAAGAUAGGAUAUAAUUUCAUGGGAUGCAUCCAAAUGAUUUCAUUUUAAAUUUUAUGACAAAAUCAAAUUGAAUUAGAAGUUCGGAGGAUUAUUGAAUUGGAGAAAAUUGAAAAUUAUCAUAUGCAACAAUUGACAUAUGGACAUUAAUACUAAAGGAAUGAUUUAAACCAUACAUUUCACGACAAUAAAAUAGUUCUAAGAGUCAAUGACCACUGAUAGUAACACUCGGUCGUAUGUCUGUCCACCAGAAAAUGGACAUGACUAAAGGAAUUUGAGAUUUACCUGGUGAUUUGAGAAAAGCAUCUCCUAGUACAUUGGAAAUCAGUUGAUGAAACUAUAACAAGAGAAAAUAACAUUGAAAAAGAAUUCUGAAAAACAUGUUAAUGGACAUACUCUCUUUAUAGUUUUGUUGGAUUUGAUGAUAGAAAUGCUAAGGUUAAAAUUCUUGGAAAACAAUAUAGUAGCUUGUUACAUUGAAUUAGAAGUUAUCCAUACAAAUCAUUAGGUAACUUCAUUAUAAUUAAACAUUAACAUCCAACACUUUCAGCUUGCAGUUCUAUGUUGCUAAGCAUGUAUCAAAAGCUACAUUCAGUACGUCAUUUUCAUUUAUCCACGUUAUAAUGAAAUUCAAUAUAUUUAAAUAUUCUCAUUUAGUUGAUGACAUCCCUCUAACAUAUGAUUCAAUAUUUUAUCCGUAAUUCUAUUUUUAUGAACUAGACCUAUCCAUCACAGACGAACCUCUACUUCAUGAUUAUUUAUUUAUCUUUUAUAGCUCCUUCUCACUUGUCUCAAUUUAAUUUGUUAUACUUUUAUAUAUGCAGGCCCGAGGCAGAUGUUGUUAAGACCAUUACUAGAGAUAUGAUAUGUGAGAUAAUAGGUAAAGACUGUGUUGAGGAUGGCCUAGUUGAUAAAAAAUCCCGUUUGAAAAAAUUAAAAGAGUUGAUUUGGAAAUCAGAAGAUGUUAGCAUGGAUGGGAUUAGGAGGAAAUCAAGAGAUGUUCUCAUGGUUGGGAUCUUUGGAAGCGCUGGAAUAGGGAAGACAACUAUUGCCCGAGCUUUGUAUGAUGAAAUUUCUUGUCAAUUUGAUGGUGCUAGUUUUCUUGCAAAUAUUCGAGAGGUAUCCAAAAAGGAUGGCCUAUGUUGCUUACAAGAACGACUUUUUUGUGAUAUCCUAUUAGGAGGUCGAAAAGUAAUGCUUCUUAGAAGGGACAAUUUGAUGGAGAGCAAAUUUUGUACUAAAAAAGUUCUUAUUGUUCUUGAUGAUGUAAAUGAUAAGAAACAAUUGGAAUUAUUAGCCGGAAGACAUGAUUGGUUUGGUAAAGGAAGUAGAAUCAUUAUAACGUGUAGAAAUGAACAUUUGUUAUUACGACAUAAAGUGGAUGAGUCUUAUGAGUUUAAGAAAUUAGAUGGUCUUGAAGCUCUAGCACUCUUGUGUCACCACGCCCUUACCGAAGAACAAUCUCCAUUUAAGCGUUUUCUCUUUUUAGAUAAUAUAAGGGCUCGUUGUGAAAAUAAUCCUUUAAAGCUUAAAGUUGCGGGUUCUUAUCUACGUGGCAAGGAAGAUGCGAAUUGGGAAAUUUAUGUAAAUAGUAAGUUUUUGAAAGUGAGUUAUGAGGACCUACUUGAGGAAGAAAAGGAUAUAUUCCUUGAUGUUGCAUGCUUCUUUCAAGGGGAGUGUGAAGAUUUUGUUACAAAAAUACUAGAGAAACCUGAUUUCUCUGCUAAACAAGGAGUGCAAGUUCUAAGCAAUAGGUGCCUCUUAACAAUUUCGGAAGGAAAGUUAUGGAUGGAUAAUUCAAUACAAGAAAUGGCCUGGAAAAUUGCUAACAAACAGGCACAGAUACCAGGCAAACCUUGCCGCUUGUGGGAUCAUAAUAAAAUCCUACACGUACUGAAGAGAAACGAGGUACCUUCCAUAUACACUCUUAAAUGUCUAUAGCUUAAGAAAAAAAUACUGACACAUAUACACAUGAAAUUUGCUUUACUUAUUUGUGGCUCUUUCUUGUAGGGGAUACAUGCAUUAAUUGAAGGCAUAUCCUUAGAGCUAUCCAAAUCAAAAGACAAAAAAUUUUCUGGUGAAGCCUUUUCCGAAAUGGAUGCACUCAGAUUGCUAAAGGUCUUCUUGGGUUCUGGAUGUGUUAAUGACAAAGAGACUUAUAAAGUGCAUUUUUCUACAGACUUUACGUUUCCUUCAUAUGAUAAGUUAAGGUAUCUCCAUGGGCAUGGAUACCAAUUAGAUUCUUUUCCUUCAAACUUUGAGGCAGAGGAGCUUCUUGAACUCAACAUGCCAUGUAGCAGCCUAAAACAAAUUAAAGGGGAUGAGGUAUGAUUAUAUAUAUAUAAAUGCUUGCUUUUAAGAUGAGCGUUGAUGUAAAUAGAAGCUAAUUUUCUUAAUUAAAAUGCUUUCUUUCACAGAUUCAUUUUCCAAAUUUAAUUGCCCUUGAUCUUAGUCACUCUCAACAAUUGGAAACCAUCUCAAACUUCUCAAGGAUGCCAAAUUUGGAGAGACUGGUUCUUGAAGGUUGUAGAAGUUUGGUUAAGGUUGACCCAUCUAUUGUAAAUCUGAAAAAGCUUUCUUUGAUGAAUUUGAAAGGCUGCAAAAGGCUUAAGAGUCUUCCAAAGAGAAUUUGUAAAUUCAAAUUUCUUGAAACUCUUAUUCUCACGGGUUGUUCGAGACUUGAGAAAUUGCUAGGUGACAGGGAGGAACGGCAAAAUUCAGUAAACCUGAAGGCAAGUCGAACUUAUAGAAGUGAGUAUAAGAUACUGUUAUUUUGUUUGGUUUUCGCACACUAUUAGGUCUAAGAAAAUGCCAUCUAUGUGAUAGGGCAGUCCCCAGUCAUUUUUUGAUGCUUACUGUCAUUGCAAAAGUUAAAUCUAACUGGAAAUGACUUUAUUAUCAUACCAGGAGUCAUCAUUCUACCUCCGGCGCUAAGAAUUCUUCACUUGGGGCAUUGCAAGAGGUUUCAAGAAAUUCUAAAGCUUCCUUCAAGUAUUCAAGAAGUAGAUGCAUACAACUGCAUUUCUAUGGGAACUUUAUCGUGGAACACCAGACUAGAAGCAUCCAUUUUACAGAGGAUCAAGGUUUCUCUCUCCCUUGUUAAACUUUGUUAUUUUCAAGGCAGAACUUUGCUCUCUUUUUCAUGAUAAACUUUAAUUUUGAUGGCAGAUUAAUCCGGAAUCUGCAUUUUCUAUCGUUCUUCCUGGGAAUACAAUUCCAGACUGUUGGGUCACCCAUAAGGUGACGGGAUCUUCAGUGACUAUGAAGCUGAAAAAUCCUGAUCGGUACAACGAUGACCUCUUGGGAUUUGCCGUGUGCCUUGUUUUUGCACCACAGGCUGAAAGGCCUCAGCUAAAUCCUGAAAUAUUGUGUGAAUUGAAGAAUUUCACAUUUUUCUACAGUUGUGGCGAGGACAGUGUAGAUGAAUUUCCAGAGUCAGAUCAAGAAUGGGGCAACAACAGUACAGAGCACGUGUGGUUGGCAUACCGACCACAUGCUCGAGCUGAUAGAUGUCAUCCUAAAGAAUGGAAUCAUAUUAAGGCUUCAUUUGAAGUCUUUGACUGUGUGGUGAAAAAGUGUGCUAUUCGCCUUAUAUACAAGUAGUGUUUGGGUAAGAAACCCAGUGAAAAUGGAAUUUAUGGCUCAUACUCCGUUGAUAACUCCAUUAUUCAUGAUAUUUCAUCCAGCUUCCAAAACUUUUGGAUUGUUUGAUUUGAAUGUUCCAAAAUAUCCAUAUAAACUCCUUUCUAAGAAAGUCUGUUUCUCUGUGGAUAUCACCUUUGUUUCUCUCCACCAAUUUAUAAAGAUUGAUUCAUCUGAAAUUGAGCAAUCAUCACUGACCUGAGGAUUUAAGUGAUCAUCUCCACUGCCGGUACGAGUUAUCGCCUGUCUGAAAACCACCCUUUUUACUAAUCAGGGUGCUGCCUCCCUCACUCCCACAGCCAGAAUCCACAAAUUAGCACUGGACUUUCUCCUCCACCUGUAGCUGGCCAGUUUUCUCCUUAAUUUUCAAGAUCAAUUGAUGGUCACAUAAAGGGAGCUAUGUUCCUAUUUGCAGAUAUCUUGCCUGCAUUCGUUGGAGAGGAAAAAAGAGUGGGAUUGUGGGCGAGGCAGUGUAAGGGCUUAUUGUCACAAGAUGCUUCAAAUGACCCUCCCCAUGGCUUAUAUAGGAGGUAAGAAGCUUUUAGAGACCCUUGGAGACAUCCACACUUAGCCACUAGUGGGAAGAGUGUGGAAGGUUCUAGAAAUGCCUAGAGAAGUCCACACAACUCUACACUAUGGUAGAAGGCAUGAGAAGGGUCCAAAGCUUUCUAAAGAAAUCUAGAAGUCUCUUGUAUAUAGGCUUAUACAUAGAAUAGUGUAGGACAUUCUAGAAUAUUCAUGAAUUGUAAGGAACCCUCCAAGGUUCUAGAGAGUUCCAUUGGUGCCUAUAAAUAGGUGAGGGCCUCAUUUGGCCAAGGCACCAAACAAGUGAGCAUCCAAGCACUUGUAAAGGCUUUCUUGAGUUAAUAAGAGCUUCCAUUCUUUAAGGAGUUGCCUACUAAGCUCUUAAGCUUUCGAGUCGCGAGUGUCUUAGCCGAGCAAGCUAAGCAUUGGGGAUCAAGGCUGACUUAGCAAGAUCAAGCGUCUUGACUUGCCUAAGUGCCGCACGAGCUUAGUGAACGACUAAGUCCGUGACAUUAUGGCUUUGGUGUGGGGGGAUCUUCAGUGUGAGAGUGAAUUGUGGGCUGUUCUGAUGAGCUUUAUCUUUUGAUGUGUUUAAUGUCUUUAAGAUAAGGCCUUGUUUCGUUGUUUCUAUAUAUCUUUACCUCCAACUUUGUACAUUCUCCUUUGAAUCUUUUUCAUACCUGGAAAAUGCUUCUCCGAAACUUCCCAUCUGCUUUCGGACGUCGGAUGGAUCUCCGUGAUAAAAAAUUGGCACAACCGGUUGUUCCAUUUCUUUCCUGCACUCCAUGAUCUUCACGUGCUCAUUCAAGCACCAUCCGGAAUUAGCAUAGUUUUCUGAGAAUACGACUAUAGAAAACCUUGAUUCCUCGAUAGCUUUCAAGAUUUCUGGAGCAAUCUCUUCUCCUCUCUUAAGUGUAUCAUCUCUGAAAGUUUUAAUGCCUUUGUGAACUAAAGUGGUAUAAAGGUGAUCAGUAAAGUUGAAACCGGUAUCUUUGCGUCUAAAGCUCAGGAAAACAUCGUACCUCCAUGGACAGACAGAAGUUGACGAGGAACAGAAAGCUUUUUGAGCACUAGUGUAAGCCAUUGAUGAAGUGCAUGAACAAGAGUUUGGAGAUUUCUCUACAUAUCAUGAAUGAUUGACCUUUGCAAUAUAAGGUCAACGACUCCAAUAAUAUUUUAACAAUAUCAAGAAAGUUUAAUUGCCUGUGAAUCCUCAGAUCAACUGUAGCAAAAAAUCUUGCAAGACCAAAAUGUCCUUCGUGAAUCUUGGGUUUGGAUCAUUGAAUUUUAAUUUUUCUUUUUAUUUCAUCUUCAUUGUGUAAAUUAAGUAUUAUACGCAUUGUAUAUAUUUAGAUAUUAGAAGGAAAAUAUGAAUUAAUUAAUUGUUCAGAGGGCUUGAUCAAGUGAAAAUGAUAUGAUAUAUGGCAAGUUAGCUGAAUUUUUCAAUAAGCAUUUUGUGUUCCACUGUUUGGUUAAUUUUCUUAAUUUUUGUUCAUAAUGGGUUUAUCUCCACCUUCUUGUAAAAUGGGGCGAAACACUUGUUUACCAUGAAACUCUAUUUUCUUAAUAACCACAAAUAUAUAAAUUUGAAUUGGUCAAACUUCAACAACCCAAUUAUUAAUUUAAGGAAUUUUUAAUUGAAUGUGAAAUAUUACAAAAAUAUUACAACAUGGAAAAAAUAUUAUAAAAUUUGAUGGCUUAGGAUGAUAGAAUUGGAUGCCACCUUGAAUUUGAACAAUAAUGUUAUGGUAAAAAAAAAUAAAAAAACAAAUCCAGUGAGUUUGAGUCAUGAAGAAAAAUCCUCUAAAAUUAGUUGAAAUAUUACUAUUUUUUCACCUUGGCUCAUACCAUUAUAGAACCCUUUUAUAUUAAAAAAUAAUUUAAUUAAUUCAUAAUUAAGAUAUAACAGUUAUAUGGAUGGUAUCAAGAUAUUCAAUGGGUAAUAUAUAGUGGCCAAACUUUAUAUUCACAAAUCCUUAAAGUUAACGGCUGUGAAAAUUAGUGCAAUUUGAUCAAUAAUUCAAUAAUCAAAUAAGAAUAUGAAUUAAAAACUAUUCGAUUAAUGGAUCUUAGCUAACUACUUUAUUUAGGGGAACCUAUAAAUACUAGCUGACUUUUGUAUAGUCUUCUAAUUAGUUUCCUACCAUUUAUUGUUUGAUGAUGCUUCUUAAAAAUGAAAUCUUUAAGAAGAUGUGUUCUUAUAUUCUUCAUUUAUUAGGUUAAGGUGAUGAAAUUUUGAUAAUUUUUUUUUAUUUUUUAUUUUGUAUUAUUUUCCUAAUCUUUUGAGAGUGUCCAAAUCUUCCUCUUUGGUUAAAUAAUACAUUUAUAAUGCUCUAUAUUCGUAUUUAUUUUCCUAACUCUGUGAUGACGUGGUUAGGAGAUGACCAAUUUGAUCACUCAAUGUUUCAUUUUAUUUUAUUUUUUAUUUUUUAUUUUUUUUUAUGAAGAGAGGUUUGGUUUGAUCCUGUAAUCUAAAGGUGGAUAAAAAAUUAUGGGAAUCACUAAUCAAUGUUGACAAAUACCAUCAUUAACAAAAUUAAAAUUAUAAAAUCUAAUUGUAGUGUACUUCUAAUAUUUAAUUUAAUUUUAGUCCGAAAUAGGGAUAGGGAUAGGGAUGAACUUUUCUCUCAGAGAGCUGGCUCCUAAUCAUUACUAUUCAUUCUUUCUUGGGAUACGUGCAAGACUUGUAGGAAUAGAAUGGUCAUGAUGUUCCGCAUGAUCACUAAUCCCAUGUUUCGAACUUCUAAGGGAUUUAUUGUCUUCAACUGUGUUGCAUGUUGCAUUAAAAGAAAAGGGUUUGGUAAUCAUAUAGUUUGAAAUUUGAGAUAAAAUUUUGUCCUGACAUACUUCCAUAAUGUAUGUAGCAGGUAAGAAGGACUAAAUAUGAAAAAAUUUAGAAUUUUGUCCUUACACCUCAAAUUGA